AACGAACGCUGGCGGCAUGCCUAACACAUGCAAGUCGAACGAGACCUUCGGGUCUAGUGGCGCACGGGUGCGUAACGCGUGGGAACCUGCCCUUAGGUUCGGAAUAACUCCCCGAAAGGGGUGCUAAUACCGGAUAAUGUCUUCGGACCAAAGAUUUAUCGCCUUUGGAUGGGCCCGCGUUGGAUUAGCUAGUUGGUAGGGUAAAAGCCUACCAAGGCGACGAUCCAUAGCUGGUCUGAGAGGAUGAUCAGCCACACUGGGACUGAGACACGGCCCAGACUCCCACGCGGGACAGCGGAGGGGAAUAUUGUGCAAUAGGCGCGAGAGUGAGACCCAAAUGCCGCGUGUGAGAGAUGAAGCUCAGAGUUGUAAAACUCUUUUACCCGGGAUGAUAAUGACAGUACCGGGAGAAUAAGCUCCGGCUAACUCCGUG
rnacentral:rRNA from 1 species